AUGGAGCAGGACCUAAGCAAGCUUGAUGUCACAAAGCUCCACCCGUUGUCACCUCAAGUUAUCUCACGCCAAGCCACCAUCAACAUUGGUACAGUUGGUCAUGUGGCCCACGGGAAGUCUACCGUUGUGAAAGCUAUAACCGGAGUUCAGACUGUUCGCUUCAAGAAUGAGCUUGAACGUAACAUCACUAUCAAGCUGGGCUACGCUAAUGCAAAAAUCUAUAAAUGCGAGGAUGACAGAUGUCCACGACCAAUGUGCUACAAGGCUUAUGGAAGCGGAAAAGAAGAUACUCCUGUCUGUGAUGUUCCUGGGUUUGAAAACACCAGGAUGAAGCUUCUGAGACAUGUUUCCUUUGUUGACUNNNNGGGCCACGACAUUCUCAUGGCCACAAUGCUUAAUGGAGCAGCUAUCAUGGAUGGAGCCUUGCUUUUGAUAGCAGCAAAUGAGAGCUGCCCACAACCCCAGACAUCCGAGCAUCUUGCGGCUCUUGCGGGUCUCAAACACCUCAUAAUUCUGCAGAAUAAGAUUGAUGUUAUCCAGGAGAGUGCAGCAGUGAACCAGCAUGAAGAAAUCCAAAAAUUCAUCCAGGGCACGAAAGCUGAAGGUGCUCCUGUGGUGCCAAUAUCUGCCCAGCUCAAGUACAACAUUGAUGUCAUCUGUGAAUAUAUUGUGAAGAAAAUCCCCAUUCCGGAGAGGAACUUCACCUCACCUCCCAACAUGAUUGUCGUUCGCUCCUUCGAUGUCAAUAAGCCUGGUUCGGAGGUUGAUGAAAUCAAGGGUGGGGUGGCAGGUGGCACCAUCCUCAGGGUAUGUAGUUGUAGAUGCUCAGUCUCAAGAUUGUAG
rnacentral:rRNA from 1 species